rnacentral:lncRNA from 1 species
AUUUUUUGGGGUCAUAUCUUUUGUGCGAGUAAAAUUCAAUUUCAAUCAACUUGCAUGGCAACGGAUCUCUUUCUCCUUUUUUUUUUUUGAAAGAAAUCUAUAUCUCAAGAGAGAAAAAAAAAACUAAUUAACCAACGCAGAAAGCUAGGCAAAAUUAAUUAGAAAAUAGUUGAUGAUGCCGGCGAAUUCGAUACAAAAUCUUCUGCUCUUAAUCAUGACUCUUUACUAUUAACCAUGCCCCACAACCAAUUUCAGCUCACAAUUAAGACAGAAACACAGGAUGUCUUUAAUCAAGUGAGAUCUGUAGGCUUUUAGGUUGUCUUUGCACGUGAUUUCGUGACACUUGCACACAGAACAUACCUUUGCAUCUGUGCUUGCCAGCCUUCUCUCAUUAACUAACAGAUGAUAGCGCGCUGCCUCGAGGGGAGAAAAAUGGGGCAAAGCAAAUCAUGAGAUGUGAUGAUAGCCAUCCUCGAGAAAGGCCUGGCCUCUUUUGGACCUCCCUGGUAGUGUCUCUCUAAUGGGGUCGACCACCUUCACGUGAGCACCUUCUGUUGUCUCUCAUGUGUGUGCAGACGCUCCCUCAUGAUUUCUUCCUUCCUUUCUCUCUUUCUCGAUCUCCUCUCUUGAUUUGGAUACACAUCUUAUUUUAAUUUCUAAUUCCUGGUCUUCGUAUCUUUAAUUUUCUUUUUGCAGAGCAUAGCGACGCUACCAAUUUAUGUGUUAUUCUAUCGUGUUAAAAAGCUAAAGUGAAAAAUCUCAAGUAACUUUAAUACCAUAAUCACAUUCUAUUUGAUCUUUUUCACGCUUCCCUCUCUUUGUUUGUUUUUUGUUCUUUAACAAAUGAGAGGCUCAGGUUGAUAAAUUAAGUAAAGUGAACAUACAGAUCCAUUGAACUAAAUCCUCCUUGUUAAAUAAAUUAUUUUGAUAAGUUUUCAUGAAUGAAUGUUUCCUAAAAUAACCUUAAUUAUACAUAUUGAUAUUGAUGGUACAAGUGUAAAAAUAAAUAAAU